GUAUAAUUUUUUUACCUUUCAAUCAGAUACAUCCACCGAUAAUGUACCGGUCUGAUCAAAAGAGCUUCCUUUGGGAGAUGAAUAGCUCGGUGCACUAUUACAUCAAAAAAUGAUGGUGAAAUUUUUUUUUUUAACUUACAAAAAAUGAGCAUGAUAUCCUUCUUAAACUUCUCAAGUAAGUUAAUUUUUAAUUUUCAAUAACACAAU
rnacentral:lncRNA from 1 species